rnacentral:rRNA from 1 species
UACGAAGGGGGCUAGCGUUACUCGGAUUGACUGGGCGUAAAGGGCGCGUAGGCGGUUUGUCCAGUCAGACGUGAAAUUCCUGGGCUCAACCUGGGGGCUGCGUUUGAUACGUGCAGACUUGAGUUCGGAAGAGGGUCGUGGAAUUCCCAGUGUAGAGGUGAAAUUCGUAGAUAUUGGGAAGAACACCGGUGGCGAAGGCGGCGACCUGGUCCUUGACUGACGCUGAGGCGCGAAAGCGUGGGGAGCAAACAGG